rnacentral:rRNA from 1 species
GAUGAACGCUGGCGGCGUGCCUAAUACAUGCAAGUCGAGCGAACGGACGAGAAGCUUGCUUCUCUGAUGUUAGCGGCGGACGGGUGAGUAACACGUGGAUAACCUACCUAUAAGACUGGGAUAACUUCGGGAAACCGGAGCUAAUACCGGAUAAUAUUUUGAACCGCAUGGUUCAAAAGUGAAAGACGGUCUUGCUGUCACUUAUAGAUGGAUCCGCGCUGCAUUAGCUAGUUGGUAAGGUAACGGCUUACCAAGGCAACGAUGCAUAGCCGACCUGAGAGGGUGAUCGGCCACACUGGAACUGAGACACGGUCCAGACUCCUACGGGAGGCAGCAUUAGGGAAUCUUCCGCAAUGGGCGAAAGCCUGACGGAGCAACGCCGCGUGAGUGAUGAAGGUCUUCGGAUCGUAAAACUCUGUUAUUAGGGAAGAACAUAUGUGUAAGUAACUGUGCACAUCUUGACGGUACCUAAUCAGAAAGCCACGGCUAACUACGUG